rnacentral:lncRNA from 1 species
UACUGUCAUGUUGACUAGUAGAGUAAGAUCAUUGCAUUGAGCUUGACCCUACCCCCUGAGGGUCGUGUUAAUACCAUGUUGACAAGUAAAGAUAGAGCAUAUUAUCAUGAGCAUGAUGAUGAGUUAAAUCAAGAGUUUAUGAAAACCCCGUCGGGUGCCACUAAUGCCCGAGGGUGAUGAUGAGUUGGUGAUCACUUUUGGUGAAGUGAUGCACCGGGAAUUUUGCGUGUGUGGUUUCGGAAAUGGGAUUAGAUUUAUGAUGUGUCGACCGUCCCAACCUUACCAGUACGACCACGUUACCCCUUUAUGGGACGGGGCUUUGUUGAUUACUUUGGUCGGUACUAGCAAAGAG